rnacentral:rRNA from 1 species
AUGGUGCUGCGGCGCUUCGCCUGGCCCUUCGGCGGCCAGCGCGCCUCCUUCUGUGGCAGCUUCACCGGCUGGAGGGAGUGCCCCAUGGGGCUCGUCGGGACUGAGUUCCAGGUGGUGUUCGAUCUCCCACCAGGGCUUUAUCAGUACCGCUUUUUGGUGGAUGGUGUCUGGAGAUGUGAUGACACAAAACCUAUUGUACGUGAUGAAUAUGGCCUGAUCAGCAAUGAAAUGCUUGUCACACUUGUGGAGAAUAAUACACACCCGGCUGUACAGCUAGAGCCACCUCCCAUUAGAAGAAUGAAUUUGGAUGAGGGUACUAUCUUGACAACAAUGCCACCGGAACCACCAUCUCGAAACUCAGGCAUGCAGAUUGCAGUUUUCCGCCAUCGGGUCUCUGAAAUACUAUUACAUAAUACCAUAUAUGAUGUUGUUCCUGUUUCUAGCAAGAUAGCAAUUUUGGACGCUCGGCUUCCUGUCAAACAAGCAUUUAAUAUUAUGCAUGAUGAGGGCCUUGCUUUGGUUCCUCUUUGGGAUGAUGGCCAAGGAACCGUAACAGGCAUGCUAACUGCUUCUGAUUUUGUAUUAAUUUUGAGAAAGUUGCAGAGGAACAUUCGAGUUCUGGGCCAUGAAGAGCUUGAAAUGCAUUCAGUUUCUGCUUGGAAAGAAGCAAAACUGCAGUAUUAUGGAGGGGCUGAUGUCGCAGGCAUGCAAAGAAGGCCAUUAGUUCAUGUUAAGGAUUCGGAUAAUUUAAGGGAUGUGGCACUGACUAUAAUACAAAAUGAAAUAUCUUCAGUCCCUAUCUUUAAGUCCUCGACGGAUAUAUCAGGGAUACCGUUACUUAAUCUUGCAACUCUUCCAGGGAUUUUGAAAUUUCUUUGCUCAAAGCUCCAAGAACAACCAGAAGGUUAUCCCAUUUUGCGAAAUCAGAUUUCCAGUAUUCCUAUUGGUACAUGGUCGCAGCAUACUGGAAGGGCAAGUACUAGACAGCUUAGAACAUCGGGACUGAGUGCUCCUCUAAUUACUUGCCUGGAUUUUCUUCUGGAAGAUAGAAUAAGCUCAAUUCCUAUAGUUGAUGAUAAUGGAUCCCUUCUUGAUGUCUACUCACUCAGUGAUAUCAUGGCUCUGGCGAAGAAUGAUGUUUACGCUUGCAUUGAACUUGAGCAAUUGACCGUGGAGAAUGCUUUGGAGCUGCAAUAUCAGGUGAAUGGGCGGAGACAGUGUCAUACCUGUUUGAGCACGAGUACGUUGCUCGAGGUGUUGGAUCAAUUGUCUGUUCCAGGGGUGCGGCGGCUUGUCGUUAUUGAACCGAUGACUAGAUUUGUGCAAGGAAUUAUCUCAUUGAGAGACGCAAUAACAUUUCUCCUUGGAUAA